rnacentral:lncRNA from 1 species
AAUCAAAAUUAUUUUAAUUUAAAAUAAUAAAAAUUUAGAUAUGAUUUAAAAAAAUUUUAUGAUUUAAUAUAAAAAGUUUGUAUGAAAAAUUAUUUCAAAAUCUAAACCAUAUUGAUGCAAAAAUUUAAUUAAGAAUUAAAUGUUGAAUCAAUUAGAUCUAGAAUUAUGAUUUAAGAUCUAAUGAUAUUGUAUAAAAUAUGGGACCG